rnacentral:rRNA from 1 species
UACGGGAGGAUCCGAGCGUUAUCCGGAUUUAUUGGGUUUAAAGGGUGCGUAGGCGGCCUGUUAAGUCAGGGGUGAAAGACGGUAGCUCAACUAUCGCAGUGCCCUUGAUACUGAUGGGCUUGAAUGUACUAGAGGUAGGCGGAAUGUGACAAGUAGCGGUGAAAUGCAUAGAUAUGUCACAGAACACCAAUUGCGAAGGCAGCUUACUAUGGUAUUAUUGACGCUGAGGCACGAAAGCGUGGGGAUCAAACAGG